AUGAUUAAAGAGAAGAAGCUAUCGACAAAAUACAUUUGACGAGCAACAAAAAAAAACAGAUAUGACCAAAAACGAUUGAAAAAUUUUUGAUCAGAAGAUGAAGAAUGCCGUUUUUGUUAUGAAUGGUUACGAAUAAAAUUUUAGCAGUUUUCUUCAAUAAACUGUCUUAAAUUAGUCUGUAAAAAUGGGCGAGGAUAUUGACCAAAUUUGCAAAUUGCUUAAA
ensembl:ncRNA C47D2.3 ncRNA